UCACAUCAUAACCUGCAAAAACAAGUUAGGCGUCCUCUAUUUUUUGUUGCAUGUUUUAUGUGGCUGCUAUGGGUGACUAGCAAGAAGCGUUCUUAGCUAAGCAAAGCCACAACGGUGAUAUUCAAGUUGCUAUUUAACCUUCUACAAAGACUGCCUCUAUCGAAUUCGAUUCAACUAAAGUGGGAGAUACACACACCCGCCAUCCAUCUUUAUGCAACAAGUUGCAUGUCAGUCGAUGGAACCGGUCUCUCGUACGUGGACGAGUAAGGUUGGUUCGGGUCGAUUCGUCCAACAAUACCGCUGAAUCGAAAUAAGACUAUGGAAGUAAGCAAUGUGAAAAUCAACACCCCCAAACUCUUUUGUGUUCUACUUAUGCAUCUUAUCUACGUAUAGACCUUGCUCAUGAUGCCACUAUUGGGGAACGUCGCAGGGGAAACAAAAAAAUUCCUAUGCUCACCAAGAUCAAUCUAUGGAGACUAACAUCUACGAGAGGGGGAGUGGAUAUACAUACCCUUGUAGAUCGCUAAGAGGAAGUAUACAUAACGUGGUUGAUGUAGUCAUACGUCUUCACGAUCCAAUCGCGAUCCGUCCCGAUCUAGCGCCGAACGGACGACACCUCCGCGUUCAACACACGUAUGGCUCGAUGACGUCUCCUCCUUCUUGAUCCAGCAAGAGAGGAAGGAGAAGUAGAUGGGAUCUCAACCAACACGACGACAUGGUGGAUAUGAUGGUGGAGCAGUUCCAGCAGGGCUUCGCCAAGCGCUGUCGAAAUUGAUCCGAGGAUAAAAUGGAGUUAUGGGAGAGGUAGGGCUGCCACGGG
rnacentral:lncRNA from 1 species